UACGGAAGGCAGCAGUGGGGAAUAUUGCACAAUGGGCGCAAGCCUGAUGCAGCCAUGCCGCGUGUAUGAAGAAGGCCUUCGGGUUGUAAAGUACUUUCAGUCGUGAGGAAGGUGUUAAGGUUAAUAACCUUAGCAAUUGACGUUAGCGACAGAAGAAGCACCGGCUAACUCCGUGCCAGCAGCCGCGGUAAUACGGAGGGUGCGAGCGUUAAUCGGAAUUACUGGGCGUAAAGGGCACGCAGGCGGUUAAUUAAGUUGGAUGUGAAAUCCCCGGGCUUAACCUGGGAAUGGCAUUCAAGCUGGUUAGCUAGAGUCUUGUAGAGGGGGUAGAAUUCCAUGUGUAGCGGUGAAAUGCGUAGAGAUGUGGAGGAUACCGGUGGCGAAGGCGGCCCCUGGGACAAAGGCUGACGCUCAUGUGCGAAAGCGUGGGGA
rnacentral:rRNA from 1 species